rnacentral:rRNA from 1 species
AACGAACGCUGGCGGCGUGGAUUAGGCAUGCAAGUCGAACGCGAAAUGCGGAGGGGUAACUCUCUGCAAAGUAGAGUGGCGAACGGGUGAGUAACGCGUGAGAAACCUGCCUUCAUCAGGGGGAUAACACUCCUAACGGAGUGCUAAUACCGCAUGAGACCACGGGAUCGCAUGGUCCUGAGGUCAAAGGUGGCCUCUAUUUAUAAGCUACCGGAUGAAGAUGGUCNCGCGUCCCAUUAGCUAGUUGGCGGGGUAAUGGCCCACCAAGGCGACGAUGGGUAGCUGGUCUGAGAGGAUGGUCAGCCACACUGGGACUGAGAUACGGCCCAGACUCCUACGGGAGGCAGCAGUCGAGAGGCUUCGGCAAUGGGGAAACCCUGACCGAGCGACGCCGCGUGGGGGAUGAAGGCCCUUGGGUUGUAAACCCCUUUUGUUCGGGAAGAAAUGCGAUCAGGUGAACAAUCUGGUCGUUUGACGGUACCGGACGAAUAAGCUCCGGCUAACUCCGUGCC